CCUGGACAGGCAGGGAGAAGGCAAUGCUUUUUCCCUGGAAAUAGCUCAGCAACAGUAUCCUUCAGUGAAAGGAAUUUUCACCUCUGGAAAGUUAACACCAUUUUAAUCCCAGGGCCACAGUUUCAAAAGGUCUUAAAAAACAUAGCAACAAUACAUUCCAACACUUCCCUCUGAUUAUGAGAAAGCACCCAACCCUCCAAGCCUAGAAUCAUCUUUCAGGAUUCCCAGCAAUUAUUUGAGGAAUGGUUGCAUUCUCAGUAAUACUCCUACAGUGACAGAAGAUGAUCAAAUAAGUUAGCUGGGAACUGGAAACUGCAUUCAGUUUCCAGCACUGACAAAGUCUUCCUGUAUGACCCGGGACUGCUUCAGGUUCUGUGCAAUACCCCAAAGAAGAAUUGAGCAGACCGGCUCAGCUCAGCAGCCUGACCUCACAUCCCCUCGCUCAUGCCCGCGGUGUGGCCUGGCACCCUUGCACCAACCAGCCUUUGCUAUUACAGCCAAAUCUUCCUCAGUGCAACUGCUGCCAAAGAUCUGAAGUGUUUCUGCUUUCCCUCUCACAUCCCUAAGAGCUAACCACAUACCCUUGCUACUGGCGUCCUGUAACUGCCUUGAAAAGAAAAAAAAAAAA